CCUACGGGAGGCAGCAGUGGGGAAUAUUGGACAAUGGGCGAAAGCCUGAUCCAGCCAUGCCGCGUGUGUGAAGAAGGUCUUCGGAUUGUAAAGCACUUUAAGUUGGGAGGAAGGGCAGUUACCUAAUACGUGAUUGUUUUGACGUUACCGACAGAAUAAGCACCGGCUAACUCUGUGCCAGCAGCCGCGGUAAUACAGAGGGUGCAAGCGUUAAUCGGAAUUACUGGGCGUAAAGCGCGCGUAGGUGGUUUGUUAAGUUGGAUGUGAAAUCCCCGGGCUCAACCUGGGAACUGCAUUCAAAACUGACUGACUAGAGUAUGGUAGAGGGUGGUGGAAUUUCCUGUGUAGCGGUGAAAUGCGUAGAUAUAGGAAGGAACACCAGUGGCGAAGGCGACCACCUGGACUAAUACUGACACUGAGGUGCGAAGACGUGGGGAGGCAACAGGAUUAGAUACCCUCGGUAGUCCACGACCGUAAACGAUGUCAACUAGACCGUUCGGUAGCCUUGUAGCUUUUAGUUGGUCGGCGAGCUAACGCAUUAAGUUUAGUACCGCCGUGGGGAGGUCGGCCGGCGAAGGUUAAAACGUUACGAAAGGAAGUUAGCGGCGUGAGACGUGCCCG
rnacentral:rRNA from 1 species